rnacentral:rRNA from 1 species
GUGAGGAAUAUUGGGCAAUGGGCGAAAGCCUGACCCAGCCACGCCGCGUGAGUGAUGAAGGCCUUCGGGUUGUAAAGCUCUGUGGGGAGGGAAGAAAAAGCGCAGGAGUAACUGCCUGUGUGUUGACGGUACCUCCUUAGCAAGCACCGGCUAACUCUGUGCCAGCAGCCGCGGUAAUACAGAAGGUGCAAACGUUGCUCGGAAUUACUGGGCGUAAAGCGCGUGUAGGCUGACAUGCAAGUCGGGUGUGAAAUCCCAGGGCUCAACCUUGGAACUGCACUCGAAACUGCACGUCUUGAGUACUGGAGAGGGAAGCGGAAUUCCGGGUGUAGAGGUGAAAUUCGUAGAUAUCCGGAGGAACACCAGUGGCGAAGGCGGCUUCCUGGACAGUAACUGACGCUGAGACGCGAAAGCGUGGGGAGCAAACAGGAUUAGAAACCCGAGUAGUCC